rnacentral:rRNA from 1 species
UAAGUAGCUAGUGAAAUCUGGUGGCUCAACCAUUCAGGCUAUUAGCUAAACUGUCAAGCUCGAGACCGUUAGGGGUAACUGGAAUUUCUGGUGUAGGAGUGAAAUCCGUAGAUAUUAGAAAGAACACCGAUAGCGUAGGCAGGUUACUGGGACGGUUCUGACACUAAGGCACGAAAGCGUAGGGAGCAAACGGGAUUAGAUACCCCGGUAGUCUACGCUGUAAACGAUGGAUACUA